rnacentral:rRNA from 1 species
GACGAACGCUGGCGGCGUGCCUAAUACAUGCAAGUCGAACGCAGUGGGGACGGGUGAGUAACACGUGGGUAACCUCCCAUCAGAGGGGAUAACCCUUGGAAACAGGUGCUAAACCGAUACUGCGGGAUGGACCCGCGGUGAAUUAGCGAGUUGGUGAGGUAACGGCUCACCAAGGCCCCGCUGCAUAGCCGACCUGAUAGGGUGAGCGGCCACACUGAGACUGAGACACGGCCCAGACUCCUACGGGAGGCAGCAGUAGGGAAUCUUCGGCAAUGGACGAAAGUCUGACCGAGCAACGCCGCGUGAGUUAAGAAGGUUUUCGGAUCGUAAAACUCUGUUGUUAGAGAAGCGGUAUCUAACCAGAAAGCCACGGCGAACUACGGGCCAGCAGCCGCGGUAAUAC